AAGACUAUACUUUCAGGGAUCAUUUCUAUAGUUCGUUACUAGAGAAGUUUCUCUGAAUGUGUAGAGUACUCAAUAAUGAGGGAAAUCCUUUUAACAUUAUAAAAGGACUCUCUUU
rnacentral:snoRNA from 1 species